GAUGAACGCUGACAGAAUGCUUAACACAUGCAAGUCUUUGGCGAAGCUGUGCUUGCACAGCCUAGCCAAGGCGGACGGGUGAGUAACGCGUAAGGAACUUGCCCUGCAGUCAGGGAUAACAGACGGAAACGACUGAUAAGACCUGGUAAAGUCAGGCGGACUCAUGUCCAGCCUGAUGAAAAGAGAUGCUGCAGGAGAGCCUUGCGUCCUAUUAGCUUGUUGGUGGGGUAACGGCCCACCAAGGCGAUGAUAGGUAGCCGGCCUGAGAGGGUGGACGGCCACAAGGGGACUGAGAUACGGCCCUUACUCCUACGGGAGGCAGCAGUGGGGAAUAUUGGACAAUGGGGGCAACCCUGAGCCAGCAAUUCUGUGUGCACGAUGAAGGUUUUCGGAUUGUAAAGUGCUUUCAGCAGGGAAGAAAAAAAUGAGGUACCUGCAGAAGAAGCGACGGCUAAAUACGUG
rnacentral:rRNA from 1 species